rfam:Ictidomys tridecemlineatus contig013799, whole genome shotgun sequence.
GAGGUUGUGGCUCAGCGGUAGAGCGCUCGUCUUGCACAUACGAGACCCUGGGUUCGAUCCUCAGCACCACA